rnacentral:rRNA from 1 species
AUUGAACGCUGGCGGCAUGCCUUACACAUGCAAGUCGAACGGCAGCACGGGAGCAAUCCUGGUGGCGAGUGGCGAACGGGUGAGUAAUGUAUCGGAACGUGCCCGGUCGUGGGGGAUAACGUAGCGAAAGUUACGCUAAUACCGCAUACGAUCUUUGGAUGAAAGCGGGGGAUCGCAAGACCUCGCGCGAUUGGAGCGGCCGAUAUCAGAUUAGGUAGUUGGUGGGGUAAAGGCUCACCAAGCCGACGAUCUGUAGCUGGUCUGAGAGGACGACCAGCCACACUGGGACUGAGACACGGCCCAGACUCCUACGGGAGGCAGCAGUGGGGAAUUUUGGACAAUGGGCGCAAGCCUGAUCCAGCAAUGCCGCGUGCAGGACGAAGGCCUUCGGGUUGUAAACUGCUUUUGUACGGAACGAAACGGCUCUUUUUAAUACAGAGGGUUAAUGACGGUGCCGUAAGAAUAAGCACCGGCUAACUACGUGCCAGCAGCCGCCGCUG